rnacentral:lncRNA from 1 species
AAAGUUUGGGAGCAUUCACAUUACAAUGAUUGGUUGUAUUCAAGUUGGGGAGAGAAAAUAUGGAUUGCUAAGAGUUUGAGAAAGAAAAAGAAAAUUCCGAAAAAAGAAAGAAAAGAAAAAUCCUUGAAAAAGAAAAAUAAAUUUUGUGCUAAUAAGUUGUGUGAAAAGGAGUAACAAUUGUGCAAUCAGAAAAAGAUGAAUGAAGUUGUGAAUGCUUGAGAAUUUGAGAAGUGAUCACUCUCAU